AAAAGACAAAAAUAAAAAAAUGUUAGAAAAGAUUAAAAGGAAAAGAGAAUUAGAUGAAAACAAAAGAUAAAAUAAAAUAGAACAUUAAAUGGAGAGAUGAGGGUGUGUCGGCCAUAAAGAGAGGAAGAGUUAAGUGGAAAGAUAAGUAAAGGGAAAAGAAAAGAAUUAAAAAUAAAAGGAAAUACAAUUGCAUGUGGGACAACCUGCGCCCCACAUGCGUAAAAGUAGAAUGAAGGGCCAAAUGGCCCUUCACUAAUAAAAGGAAGAAAGGCUCCCGAGAGCCUUAUUUCAGAAAAUGGAGAGAGUUCCUCAUUUCUCUUUCCUUAAGGUUUUUACACAAAAUUCAUGAUCUACGAAGAUCUAAUGGUCCGAUCUUCGAUCCGUCUUCAGAAACGUGAUCCCUGCACUUGGAUCUACGUUUCCACCGAUCGUUUUGAGUGAUACAUUGCAAGGUGAUGUCUAGGAGACCUAGUGCUUAAUAUCCGCGCAGGCAGGUUAUGAACAGAGAGACCUAGGCGGCCGGAAUGGGAUCUAGGAAUGCAUUAGAAUAUUGCAUUUAUGUUUUCUUAAUAAGUGCACUUGCACAACAAAUUUAGUUUUCUUUGGAUUUUUAAUUAUUGAAUCAAACAUAAUUGUUUAUUUCGAAAUAACCGUUUCCGCAUUUAUUAAAAGCUCUGAGUUUUAAAAUCAUUAUUAUUUUUAAUUUAUUUAAAUCAGCAUACUAGUUAAGAUAUUUGGCAGACCUUACGAAUCUUUGCAGUUUUUAAAGAGAAAAGAACGAACCUAACCCUUAGUGGUUUGGGGGCGUUACAAUUCGAGCUACCAACAUAAAAGUAUUAUUGUAGGUGGGUUUAUACGUGGUUGCUUCCUAGCCAAAGGAACUUCUACGUAUGGGUCCAACUGCAUAGUAUGUUUUAAAGGUUUUCUGAUAGUCGGUGUAGGCUAUAUCAGCUAUUGGGGUUUUCAAACAAAAUUCUAUAAAUUGGUAGCUGUUAUAGUGUACGCGAGACUAAAAAGAAAAGUUGGUUCAUUUGGAAAAAAAAACUCAGUUAGUUUAAUAUCACUGAGGUGGUGAACUCAUCCCUUCACCUAUACGGAUGUGGCAAACCCCCACAACCGUAUAGAUGAUGUCCAUUUGACUGCAGGUACACCUGACUUAGAGGAGGACCCCGUAGCUGCGUAUUUGGGAUAUUACGAUUGAAGCACACCGCGACAGUCGUAUUGAGUUGGACUAUGGAGUUCACUCUUUUGGGGUAUUUUGUAUAUGGCUAGUGACGUAGGUGUCACAUAUCCUUUUGUGUAGCCAUUCUCUUGUAUUAGUGGAAUUGUAGCCUUAAACAGUUAGACAGAUAUAUGGCUCUUUUGUAUGGACCACAUGUAUAUUUAGAUGUGCUUUCCGUUAGGAGAUGUAACGUCAUGAUUA